AUCUUCAAUAGCGUAUAUUAAAGUUGUUGCAGUUAAAAAGCUUGUAGUUGGAUUUCUGGUGGGAGGGAUCGGUCCAGCAUUCUGUGUGGGAACUUUUAUCCUCUCCAGCCAUCCUUGGGUGGAUCUUAUCUGACAUUAAGUUCUCAGUCAGGGGAUACUCAUCGUUUACUGUGAAGAAUUAGAGUGCUCAAAUCAGGCUUAUGCCAUUGAAUAUAUUAGCAUGGAAUAAUAAGAUAGGGUCCUGGUACUAUUUUGUUGGUUUGCGUACCGAGGUAAUGAUUAAUAGAGAUAGUUGGGGGUACUUGUAUUCAGUAUUCAGUGGUGAAAUACUUAGACCUACGGAAGAAAAACUACUGCAAAAUUAUUUACCAAAGAUGUUUUUA
rnacentral:rRNA from 1 species